UGGCCCUUCACCCAGCCAGAAUUAACAGUCCUGCUUUCAUGCCUUUGCUUGCCACCCAGCUUAGCCUCUUAUCUCAGCUUCUGAAACAUUCUUCAACCUCUACCAGUCUUCUGAAGGUGGCAGCUGUUAAUACAGAACUUGAUGAGGAAGAUGCCAGCAUCUCACCUGGAAUUCACAAAACCCUAGCCAGCCCUAACUCACAAGGGCCUGCACACCCUUUAAUCCAGCAAAAUUAACUCAAGAGCAUGUGGGACCUGAAAUCCAGUCUCUGCAUAUUAUUGCAAGUGCUUCAAGCAAAGAAAAGAACCUGAUUUCACAUUUGAGAUGCAUUUUAAACCAAAGGUCUGUUCUGGUACCUCCACAAGGAAGCAUCAAUCGGACCACAGAAAAUUUACAUCCAGGGAUUUGUCUUCUGGAAUGGAUCUCACUGACCUACAAGAAUUGAAUUUGCCCGUGUCUUCACAACACCUUGUUAGUGGUAUCAAAUCAGGAGAUUGAAGUGAGCCAUAGUGAGAGUAUGGACACCACAGAAAUCAACUUACAUAUCAAGGCUUUUUCUUUAUUUCAGGAGAGCCAGUUCAAUAGUACAACACUUUUAUGAUCUUCCCUCUUUUGCUCACACCUCCCUGCCAUUCCUGUUCCCAGUCCAUACUUGAAUAACUGUGUUGCAAAUAACAUCAGUUCAGAAAACUUGUGUCUCCGCAGGAAGAUUUAUUUGUUCAUUUACCUUAAUACAGGAAGUUCCUCUGCAGCAUUUUUUAGCUGGAGGUGCUGAAA
ensembl:lncRNA novel transcript